ensembl:rRNA 5S_rRNA 5S ribosomal RNA
GCUUACGGCUAUACCACCCUGAGCACGCCCGACCUCGUCUGAUCUCGGAAGCUAAGCAGGGCUGGGCUUGGUUAGUACUUGGAUGGGAGACUGCCUGGGAAUACCUCGUUAGAUGAAAUAAACA